CUUGUGUGUGUAGGCAGCACAAAUGUACACCGCUGUGGCCAGGUUAUUUCAUACGACACAGCCACAGGUGAUGUACAUGAAUGACGGCAGAUGGUUGAGGAUUGAGGGAAUGUAGAUGCGACUAGCGAGCACUUACUCUGAGGUGCUUUCAGAUGAUGGUUUAAUAAGAUUGUUUGGACAAAAUUCUGAUUUUUCAACACUUGUUCCAUGUGCGAAUAUUCUGGGAGCACCAACUCCAACUGCUGACAAGGUGAAGCUUAUGAUCAGUACAGCUUUGUUUGACAUUUGGCUGGGCUAAAAAAAAUAUCAAUGGGAGCUUUGGACGGCCCGAUUGCAUUAGUGCCUGUGGUUGCGAACGUCCGCCGUCUGCCGCAGCUUCGUCAAUCGUCCUUCUCAGGUGUCAGCGAUCUUAGCCGUGAGGAGCGAGCGACACACCGUUCCCGUCGACGCCGUCGUCCGUCGGCAUCCGGUAUUGCUGUACGCUAUACCUGUACUGAUUGUGAUUGGCGUCCCAUCCGACACCAGAACGAGAACCCCUUCAAUUUAAUGUGUUAGUCAUAGAUAUGGAUAUUGUUGACCAUAAAAAAGAACCUAUCAACAAGAGCCCGAAGGUCAUGUCGUUGGAAGAGACUAAAACCUCAGCAAGUUCUAUACAGCCUACAGAUGCGCAGAUAGAAAUAGCCAAUUUACGUCAUACCAAACCAAGAAGAGCAAAUACAAAUAUUACACCACAAGUAUUAAAUCAACCAUGUCCUUACCUGAAAAAACUAUGUUGGUGCACAUCAAUGAUGCAUUAUUAUCAAAUGCAGAGAUGAGGUGCCUUAGGCAUGAUGAUGUGUUUUUGCAUGAUGAUGUAAUAAAUGCAUAUAUAUACUGUAUAAGUGCCCAGGAGCAUCUGCAAGAUAGAGUGGGUGGAAUGGUACAUAUUGCAAGCACGUUUGUGUCUUCCCUGCUAAAGAACGAUGAGGUAGACCGGGCAACACAUCGCCACAUUGUAAAACGAGUGAAUGCUUUUUUGGAGCAUGACAUGGUAUUCCUUCCAGUUAACAUCAGAAAAUGCCACUGGUAUCUAUCAGUAAUCAAUGCGAAGAAACGAGAGAUACAGGUACUGGACUCGCUUGGAGUUGGAAUGAGCCGAAGUGACCUCACUAAGAUGUUACAAGGACUUGACCAGCAUCUAAAAAUCGCAUGCAAUAUGCCAGAGUUUAAGAGAGGUGAUAGGUGGCAGGACCUCGAUAUUACGAAUUGGAAAGUCGUAGAACAGCUCCAAGAGCCAAUCCAAACAGACGGGAGGACAUGAAAGAAUUUCGACGAAAGAUAAUUUGAUUAAGCGCAACUGGACAUGAUCUACUAGGUGUAGUUUCUGUGAUCGGGAUGAAACUAUCAAGCAUCUUUUCUUUGAUUGCCCGAUGGCGAGGGUGUUGUGGCGCUCGGUGCAAAUUGCCUUUAACAUUACUCCUUCAAAUUUGGUCAGGUCGUUUUUUGGAACGUGGCUGGUUGGUAUAGAGGCCGAAACAGCUAGACAAAUUUGAGUGGGAGCAUGUGCGUUGUUAUGGGCAAUUUGGAACUGCAGAAAUGACUUGGCUUUUAACAGAACAACAACUAUUCAUUUU